rnacentral:misc_RNA from 1 species
GUGAUCCAUGGACCCUUUAAUUUCUGUUCAAUCUGGGCUUCAUAUAUAAUUUCCUUCAAAUUUCAUGGUACAGGGAAUGUUUCUAUUAUGGUUAACAACUGUGAUUCCACAAGCAAGGCCAGCCCCUUGUGUGCAAUUCAGUGACAGUUGCCCUUCUGCCACAACAUUACAGCUUCUGUUUUUAUAUUCAUCUCUUGGGCUCAUCUCCAUUGGAGCCGGUGGAGUAAGGUCUUCUUCUUUAGCCUUUGGGGCUGAUCAACUAGGGAACGGAGAGAACCUUAAAAAUGCACAAAUCCGAGAGAGCUUCUUCAGCUGGUACUAUGCAAUAGUCUCUUUUUCUGUAGUUAUUGCCAUGACUUGUGUUGUUUACGUUCAACAAGUGAUGGGGUGGAAGGUGGGUUUUGGAGUUCCUGUGGUGCUCAUGAUCAUGUCAGCUCUUUCUUUCUUCUUAGCUUCUCCCAUUUAUGUCAAGUCAUCACUACCCAAGUCAAGCUUGCUUACUAGAUUUGCUCAAGUUUUUGUUGCUGCCUAUAAAAAUAGAAGCAUUCCAUCAUCAACCCAAGCCACCAAUGAAGUGUACCAUAGUAGGAAGGAUACAUUGCUUCUUGCUCCAAGUGAGAAAUUCAGGUAUCAUCAAAUAGUAAACUGCUUCUUGUAAUGCAAUUCUAAACCGAAAAUUUGAUUAAGCAUCUUCUAAUGGGAUUUUCUAACCCUGUCUUAGGUAUCUAAACAAAGCAUGCAUUAUCAGAAACCCUCAAGAAGACCUGAUCGCAGAUGGAAGCGCUUCAGAUCCAUGGAGUCUUUGUACAGUAGAUCAAGUAGAAGAGCUAAAGGCAAUUAUCAAGAUAAUCCCAAUAUGGUCAACAGGAAUGAUGAUGUCUGUGACUAUAAGCCCAGGCUCGUUUCCAGUACUCCAGGCAACUACCAUGGACCGACACAUUACUUCAAAAUUUGAAGUUCCUGCAGGCUCCUUCGGCGUUUUCAUGGUUAUCUCCAUUUUUUUAUGGAUUAGUCUCUACGAUCGUGUAAUUAUCCCUCUAGCAUCAAAACUCAAGGGAAAACCUGUUCGUUUCAGCUUGAAACAAAGAAUGGGAAUUGGGAUUCUACUCUCUUCCACAUCCAUGGCAGCAUUAGCAAUGGCAGAGAGCAUUCGGCGAGAAACUGCAAUCAGGGAAGGAUUUUCAGAUGACCCUAAUGCUGUGGUGCACAUGUCUGCACUGUGGUUAUUGCCAUACCAUGUCCUAGGUGGAUUGGCAGAGGCCUUCAAUGCAAUUGGACAGAACGAGUUCUACUACACUGAGUUGCCCAAAUCCAUGUCUAGUAUAGCUGUCACUUUAGCUGAAAUGGGAUUUUCUGCGGCAUAUAUUGUUGCAAGUUUUAUAAUGACUAGUGUUGAUAGUUUAACUAAGAGAGGAGGAGAGGAGAGUUGGGUAUCAAGCAACAUUAAUAGGGGUCACUAUGAUUAUUACUACUGGCUUCUUGCUAGUCUGGGCUUGGUUAACUUCUCAUAUUAUCUCUUUUGUAGCAAGGCUUAUGGUCCUUGCAGGGGAGAAGGGUAUAAUAACCCUGAUGAAGCUACAAGAGAGAUGACCAUUGAUUAGUUAUUAAGGUCUAGGAACAGAAGUUGUUCAUCAAUAGUUUAGCAUGAUUUCUGAAUAUUUGGCUUUCUAUGGUGGCUGGAUUAGGAAUUUUGUAUAAUUAUUUUGUUUCUGUUUAGGAAUAUAUAGAUUAUAGCUAGUUUUAGUCUUGACAUUUCUCUCUAUUCUAAUUUGAACCCACCACAUGAAGAGUGAUAUUUAAGUUUGGAAAGAACUUAAGAUUCAACUAGCAAAUUUUAUUCCGUAAAAUAAACCUGAAGCUAAGAACCGGGAGGAUCCAUAUUCAUCUCUAGGCAUCGUAGGUCUUGUUCAAAGGCAAACGCUUGAUGAAUUCCAAAACAACUGCAACAGAAUUGUUGGCAGCAAGAGAGGUGAAAAUGUCAGCCUCAUUAGAAUGGGCAGAUCCACCUCCUGCCAAGUCAGAGAGAGCUCUAAAAGCUAUAAAAGGAAUCUUUUGCUGCAGGCAUAUCAAAGCAACAGCUGCAGUUUCCAUUUCCACAGGGCUUACGUUGAAUUUAUCAUAUAUGAAGCUUCGAUAAGCUGCAUUAUCCAGGUAAAUGCUUGAACUUACUCCUCGUGCCACUGUCACCACUUUUGGGGCCACCGAUAAACACGUUGUUGAGUUCAAGCAGUUUUCUAGUUUCAAGUCCUGAUCAAUAUAAGCAACCAGAUAUGCCUGUAAAUUCAUGAUCAUAAGAUACUUUAUUUUUUUUUUUGGCAUACUAAUAUUUCUUUUUUUUUUUUUUUAAGUUGGAGAAUUUCUUAUGUAGACUUUAGAAAAUGCUUUGAAUUCCAGGUGAGAUUUCUGUUUGUUUACAAAGAAAACUUUCUAAAUAGUUUGAAUCGGUAUCUAUGUGCUGUUUCUAUGAAGCAUUUAGGAUAUUUUGCGCUUUAGAGAAUGUUUUGACUUGGCAAAUAGGAAGAUACUGAGAGCUUUCCUUCUUGUUUUAUAAGCUCAGAUGUGAAGUAGCCCUUAGUUAGACUUCAAGAAAUACAAGCUGGACUUCAUCUUUAUUGAUCUGAAAGUUAUCAAUGGGCGCUAUAUUGAGUGUAAAUAGUUUGAGGACUGUAGCUAGUGAGGUAUAUGAAGUAUCACAGAGUGAAACUUGCAAGAGACAGAGGUUGUCAUUGAUUUCUUGCGAGGGGAAUGCACGAUUGAUUCCUAGCCUUCCUGAUGAGAUAUCAAUUCAGAUACUUGCCAGACUUCCUAGGAUUUGUUACAUGAAAAUGAAAUUAGUGUCUCGUGCUUGGAAAGCAGCUAUUGUAAGUGCUGAACUGUUCAAUGUGAGAAAAGAACUUGGAACAACUGAGGAGUGGCUCUAUAUAUUAAUGAAAGUUGAAGAUGAAAGGUUUUUGUGGUAUGCCUUGGAUCCAUUGUCCCGAAGAUGGCAAAGAUUGCCAACAAUGCCUGGCGUUUCUUUUGAAGAUGAGCCCAAGAAGGGUUUGGCUGCACUUAGAAUGUGGAAUGUAGUGGGCUCAAGUAUCAAAAUUGCAGACACAGUAAGAGGUUGGCUUGGAAAGAAGGGUACAUUGGACCCAUUACCCUUUCAUGGCAGUGCAGUUGGGGCUAUUGAUGGCUGCCUCUAUGUGUUAGGGGGACUCUCUAAAGCUUCAGCCAUGAGAAAUGUGUGGCAGUAUAAUCCUAUUCUAAAUGCUUGGAGUGAGAUGAAUCCAAUGUCCAUUGGUAGAGCUUUUUGUAAGACAGGCAUCUUAAACAACAAGCUUUAUGUUGUUGGAGGAGUUGCUAAAGGCCGUGGUGGACUGACCUCACUUCAAUCUGCAGAAGUGUUUGAUCCUCGUACUGGUGUCUGGUCCGAAAUUCCAAGCAUGCCUUUUUCAAAGGCUCAGGUAUUGCCUACUGCUUUUCUGACAGAUUUGCUCAAGCCCAUUGCAACAGGAAUGACAUCAUACAGAGGAAGGUUAUUUGUGGCUCAGAGCUUAUAUUGCUGGCCUUUUUUUGUUGAUGUUGGCGGAGAGGUUUAUGAUCCGGAGUUGAAUUCUUGGGAUGAAAUGCCAAAUGGAAUGGGUGAAGGUUGGCCAGUAAAGCAGGCAGGAACAAAACUGAGUGUCACUGUUGAAGGUGAACUGUAUGCACUUGAACCAUCUAGUUCUCUUGAUAGUGCUAGAAUUAAGGUAUAUGAUUACCAAAAUGAUACCUGGAAAGUUUUGCUUGGAGACAUUCCUAUUAGUGACACUAGUAAUUCGGAGUCUUCCUAUUUGCUUGCUGGUUUACUUGGAGAGCUUCAUGUAAUCACUAAAGAUGCCAACAACAACAUUAUAGUUCUACAGGCAGAUGUACAAAAUCAUUUAGCUUCCUCUUCCUCAUCAUCUUCAUCAUUUUUAUUUGAUAACUCCUUCCGCGAGGAGGCUGAGUCUGCAGCAGAAUCAGAAAUACAUUUUUGGAGGAUCAUUGCAUCUAGAAAUGCUAGUUCUGCUGAUCUGGUUAGUUGUCAGACCCUUGAUCUGUAGUUCCAACACUAGUUGUCAGACCCUUUCUGUAAUUCAGUGUGCUGAUGUAUGUGUUAUAUAUAAUUUGUUAAGUUCUUACAAUUAUAAAGAGAUAAUACUUGAAUGGAAAAGAAAAUUUAUUUUAGUAUUUCAAAUCUAUGAUGUGAUCCAUGAUAUAUAGGCACUUGUAAACAUUUCUUGAGUUCUUGUGUGGGUGUGGUUAAACGAAUGGAUAAUUUAAUGAAAGGGCA